rnacentral:rRNA from 1 species
UUCCAGACUCCUACGGGAGGCAGCAGUGGGGGAUAUUGCACGAUGGAGGAAACUCUGAUGCAGCGACGCCGCGUGAGGGAAGACGGUCUUCGGAUUGUAAACCUCUGUCUUUGGGGAAGAAAAUGACGGUACCCAAAGAGGAAGCUCCGGCUAACUACGUGCCAGCAGCCGCGGUAAUACGGAGGGUGCAAGCGUUGUCCGGAAUUACUGGGUGUAAAGGGAGCGUAGGCGGGAUGACAAGUUGGGUGUUAAAUCUACCGGCUCAACUGGUAGUCGCACUCAAAACUGCUAUUCUUGAGUGAAGCAGAGGCAGGCGGAAUUCCUAGUGUAGCGGUGAAAUGCGUAGAUAUUAGGAGGAACACCAGUGGCGAAGGCGGCCUGCUGGGCUUUUACUGACGCCGAGGCUCGAAAGUGUGGGGAGCAAACAGGAUUAGAUACCCCUGUAGGU